rnacentral:misc_RNA from 1 species
AACCUUAUCAUUUAGAGAAAGAAGUCGUAACAAGGUUUCUGUAGGUGAACCCACGGAAGGAUCAUUGCCAAGACCCGACGAGCCAAACCCACAAACACAUGAACUCAUUGCGUGCCGGAGCAUGUGCGGCCCCACCGACCUACUUCAGCUUCAUCGCUCGAACCCCCGCACUGUUGAGACUGGUGGCUGUGGGGCGGCAAGAGGACUAGACACGGCACCCUCGGAGGGCACCAAGGAACCUUGAGCAUGGAGGCACGCCUUCUGCCCUGCCCCUUGCUCACAGGGGCCCUGGGUCGUGGGGUUCCACCUCCACCAAUGGCAAAGCCUCCGGGCUUUCAUAGUACGACUCUCGAUAAUGGAUAUCUCGACUCUCGCAUCGACAAAGAACGUAGCAAAAUGCGAUACGUGGUGCGAAUUGCAAAAUCCCACAAACCAUUGAGUCUUCGAACGCAAGUUGUGCCCGAGGCCAUCCGAUCGAGGGCACACCUGCCUGGGUGCCAACCCAAGCGGCGCUUCACUCCCUCAGGUUCCCUAUAGUCCUCGAGGGUUGCCAGACACGGAUGAUGGCCCCCCACGCCGAGUGCGGGCGGCGUGCCAAAGAUUGUGCCACAGGCUAGGACCGGACGCAGCAGGUUGUGGAUGCACCCAAGAUCCCAUCGCUGAGCCUUUGGACCCCAGCCCUUAGGGCCCACGUCACCCAGGACCGUCCGCGUCRCCAUGGACCACGUUUGGUGCAUCGCCCUCGGAAUGCAACCCCAGGUCAGGCGAGGCCACCUGUCGAGCUU